rnacentral:rRNA from 1 species
CUCCGGUUGAUCCCGCCGGACCCGACUGCUAUCGGAUUGAGAUUUAGCCAUGCGAGUCGAACGUUCCCCUGUUGCGGGGAGCGUGGCGUACGGCUCAGUAACACGUAGUCAACCUGCCCUGGAGACAAGGACAACCCCGGGAAACUGGGAUUAAUCCUUGAUAGGUCAUCUCAUCUGGAAGGAGAGAUGGCUUAAAGGGGUACGAGGGCUUCUUCCACGUAUUCGCUCCAGGAUGGGACUGCGACCGAUCAGGCUGUUGGCGGGGUAAUGGCCCACCAAACCUGUAACCGGUACGGGCCUUGAGAGAGGUGGCCCGGAGAUGGACACUGAGAGAAGGGUCCAGGUCCUAUGGGGCGCAGCAGGCGAGAAACCUUCGCAAUGUGCGAAAGCACGACUGGGUCAGUCCGAGUGAUUCCUGAUAAAGGAGUCUUUUGCUUGUCCUAAAAGCACAGGUGAAUAAGGGGUGGGCAAGUCUGGUGUCAGCCGCCGCGGUAAUACCAGCACCUCGAGUGGUCAGGACGUUUAUUGGGCCUAAAGCAUCCGUAGCCGGCUUUGCAAGUCUUCGGUUAAAUCCACCUGCUCAACAGAUGGGCCGCUGGAGAUACUACAAAGCUAGGGAGUGGGAGAGGCAGACGGUAUUCAGUGGGUAGGGGUAAAAUCCUCUGAUCCAUUGAGGACCACCAGUGGCGAAGGCGGUCUGCCAGAACACGUUCGACGGUGAGGGAUGAAAGCUGGGGGAGCAAACCGGAUUAGAUACCCGGGUAGUCCCAGCUGUAAACGAUGCAAACUCGGUGAUGCAUUGGCUUAUGGCCAAUGCAGUGCCGCAGGGAAGCCGUUAAGUUUGCCGCCUGGGAAGUACGGACGCAAGUCUGAAACUUAAAGAAUUGGCGGGGGAGCA